AUUGAACGCUUGCGGCAGGCCUAACACAUGCAAGUCGAGCGAGCGGCGGACGGGUGAGUAAUGUCUGGGAAACUGCCUGAUGGAGGGGGAUAACUACUGGAAACGGUAGCUAAUCCCGCAUACCAUCAGAUGUGCCCAGAUGGGAUGAGAUAGUAGGUGGGGUAACGGCUCACCUAGGCGACGAUCCCUAGCUGGUCUGAGAGGAUGACCAGCCACACUGGAACGGAGACACGGUCCAGACUCCUACGGGAGGCAGCAGUGGGGAAUAUUGCACAAUGGGCGCAAGCCGGAUGCAGCCAUGCCGCGUGUGUGAAGAAGGCCUUCGGGUUGUAAAGCACUGUCAGCGGGGAGGCGUUACCAGCAGAAGAAGCACCGGCUAACUCCGUGCCAGCAGCCGCGGUAAUUC
rnacentral:rRNA from 1 species